UACGGAGGGGGCUAGCGUUGUUCGGAAUUACUGGGCGUAAAGCGCACGUAGGCGGAUUGUUAAGUCAGGGGUGAAAUCCUGGAGCUCAACUCCAGAACUGCCUUUGAUACUGGCGAUCUUGAGUCCGGGAGAGGUGAGUGGAACUGCGAGUGUAGAGGUGAAAUUCGUAGAUAUUCGCAAGAACACCAGUGGCGAAGGCGGCUCACUGGCCCGGUACUGACGCUGAGACGCGAAAGCGUGGGGAGCAAACAGG
rnacentral:rRNA from 1 species